CCGUCUUCCCCCCAGAUGAAACACAUGAAACAAGAUGAAACGAGAUGAAACGAGAUGAAACAAGAUGAAACGCCAAGUACGGGCGCAGAUGGGGCCGAGAUGAAACGAAAUGAAACAAAAUGAAACAAAAUGAAACAAGAUGAAACAAGAUGAAACAAGAUGAAACCAAAUGAAACUCGAAGUACGGGCGUAGAUGGGCCGCGAAUGAAACAAGAUGAAACAAGAUGAAACAAUGUAUGGGCGUAGAUGGGGCGCACGCGACCAUGUACCACGCGUGAACGAGCGAAAAGAACUGAAUCCAAUCAUUGAAAUAAUUUUGUUUGCAGAGGCAAUUCGCGCAAGGGAGGGAUAGCAAUUUGAUGGCUUGCGAGUGACAGCACGAGCCGAAUUUAUUGCCCGUGGAAGUACCCACGAUAGGAAUACACUGUUGGGAACAUGGUGGCGCCGCUGACGGUACCUAUAAAAUGUCUCUACCUGCCAGGAUGGUAUAAGAGCACGAACUGAAUCACCUGUUGGUGCAGAAGGCUUGGAGGACUGCUUUUGAAACAGUUGUUCAAAUUUCCUGCGCCUCUUCGUAGCCGUUGUCUGAUUGCUGCAUUCUGGGGAGACUGAAGUUAAGAAGCCCUCACCGAAACCAACACUACGUUGCUGUGUUGUUUUCUUCCAAGGUCGGGCACAGUAAAGGAGACGACUCUGUAUCAAGGCACUACCCAGAGGGAGGAUGUUGGCCUUCUCCUGAUGGGAAAAUGUCUUCUUUCUCAUGGCGUGGCCAGGACUGCACUGACCCUACCAUCCACUCUACCUCUCCGGAAAGGGACUUGACAACCAGUCAAGAUGGAAGUGCAGAGAUAUACCAGCGCUUCUAGCAUUAACUGCCAAUUUGCACUGACGCAGCAAGACUCCCAACAGUCAAAAAGAAUAAUAUAGACGUGCAGAAAAUGUAGGAGAGCGAUGACAUCAGAAGGACACUCUCAGGUUCAGGGUACCUGUACUGCCCCAAUAAAGUGGGUCAGAUCCCAAAACGAGGUUGGCCGAAGCAAAAAAAUAGAAGAGCCUGCCUUGAACUGAAUAUGAGGAAGAAGAAGAAGAAGACGAAGAAAGAGAAAGAGUAGUAAUUUGUUUGUGUAAACUUUGUUUCCUCUGUCUAGGCUGCCAUCGCAUUAUAGCAGCCAACAGUGUGUGUGUGUGUGUGUGUGUGUGUGUGUGUGUGUGUGUGUGUGUGUGUGUGUGUGUGUGUGUGCAUAUGUGUGUGUGUGUUUGCGUUUGUGUGCACACGCUUGUGUGUGUGUUUGCAUGUGUGUAUAUUCUGCUAAUCUUGACUUAAAUUUCCACAUCUGGGCAUAUUGUGUUCUGUAUGUGAAUUUAUCUUCAUUAACUUGUGCGCUACGUUCCUUUCUUCACGUUA